rnacentral:lncRNA from 1 species
GGCUUGUUUUCCCGGCUAGGCUCUGGAGCGGCGGGCGCGGCGCGAUGCGCGGGUACCCGGGAGCGAACGGCUGCAAGCCCCGAUGAAGCUCGAGCAGCCCCAGCCUGAUGGAGGCGCCUCCGUGGGAGCCGGUGCGCAAUGACUCCCUGCCUCCCACGCUGAGCCCCGCGGUGCCGCCCUACGUGAAGCUCGGCCUCACCGCGGUCUACAACCGUCUUCUACGCGCUCCUCUUCGUGUUCAUCUAUGCGCAGCUCUGGCUGGUGCUGCGCUACCGUCACAAGCGGCUCAGCUACCAGAGCGUCUUCCUCUUCCUUUGCCUCUUCUGGGCCUCGCUGCGUACCGUGCUCUUCUCCUUUUACUUCCGAGACUUCGUGGCAGCCAACUCGUUCAGCCCCUUCGUCUUCUGGCUGCUCUACUGCUUCCCCGUGUGUCUACAGUUCUUCACCCUCACGCUCAUGAACUUGUACUUCACGCAGGUGAUUUUCAAGGCCAAGUCAAAAUAUUCUCCAGAGCUACUCAAAUACCGGUUACCCCUCUACCUGGCCUCACUUUUCAUCAGCCUCGUUUUCCUGUUGGUGAAUCUGACCUGUGCUGUGCUGGUGAAGACGGGAGACUGGGACAGGAAGGUUAUCGUCUCUGUGAGAGUGGCCAUCAAUGACACACUCUUUGUGCUGUGUGCUAUCUCUCUCUCCAUCUGCCUCUACAAAAUCUCCAAGAUGUCCCUGGCGAACAUCUACUUGGAGUCAAAGGGCUCAUCAGUGUGUCAGGUAACUGCCAUUGGUGUCACCGUCAUCUUGCUCUACGCCUCUCGGGCCUGCUACAACCUGUUCAUCUUGUCAUUUUCUCAGAUCAAGAACGUCCAUUCCUUUGAUUAUGACUGGUACAAUGUAUCCGACCAGACCAAUCCUGGGAUGGUCCCCAGCCAUGGAUUCAGUCCCAGAUCUUACUUCUUUGACAACCCCCGAAGAUAUGACAGUGAUGAUGACCUUGCCUGGAACAUUGCCCCUCAGGGACUUCAGGGAAGGACCUCUCCGAGCCUACCCAGAGAGAGCCAGGGCAUGUGCUGCUCCACUCACUCACUGGAACGUGAUCUGGGACAUCCAGGCAGACCUCUUGGAUCCUCUUCUAAAGCCAGAGAAUAUAUGAACAAUUAUCACUAGAGUGAAUAUAUUAUAAGAACCAAAAA